rnacentral:rRNA from 1 species
UUCGGAUGCUGACGAGUGGCGAACGGGUGAGUAAUACAUCGGAACGUGCCUAGUAGUGGGGGAUAACUACUCGAAAGAGUAGCUAAUACCGCAUGAGAUCUACGGAUGAAAGCAGGGGACCUUCGGGCCUUGUGCUACUAGAGCGGCUGAUGGCAGAUUAGGUAGUUGGUGGGGUAAAGGCUUACCAAGCCUGCGAUCUGUAGCUGGUCUGAGAGGACGACCAGCCACACUGGGACUGAGACACGGCCCAGACUCCUACGGGAGGCAGCAGUGGGGAAUUUUGGACAAUGGGCGAAAGCCUGAUCCAGCAAUGCCGCGUGCAGGAUGAAGGCCCUCGGGUUGUAAACUGCUUUUGUACGGAACGAAAAGCCUGGGGCUAAUAUCCCCGGGUCAUGACGGUACCGUAAGAAUAAGCACCGGCUAACUACGUGCCAGCAGCCGCGGUAAUACGUAGGGUGCAAGCGUUAAUCGGAAUUACUGGGCGUAAAGCGUGCGCAGGCGGUUUUGUAAGACAGUGGUGAAAUCCCCGGGCUCAACCUGGGAACUGCCAUUGUGACUGCAAGGCUAGAGUGCGGCAGAGGGGGAUGGAAUUCCGCGUGUAGCAGUGAAAUGCGUAGAUAUGCGGAGGAACACCGAUGGCGAAGGCAAUCCCCUGGGCCUGCACUGACGCUCAUGCACGAAAGCG